ACACGCUGUUCCGCAUGCUGUCGUCGUCCGCUCAUGCACGCAACGUCGCGGUCCUGGAAUCUAUUUUCGAGCAGUUCUUCGAUGACUUCGCCUUCGCACCCAAGAGAGCCGAGGUGUUGCAGGUCAUCCGGCAAGUUCUGGACGAUUCCCGCUUCCAGACCCUCGCCGACGAUGGCGAGGUCGCUACCCCGGAGACGGCCGAGCAUGUGCUCUACGCUCGCUUGCGCGACGACGGCUGG
rnacentral:misc_RNA from 1 species